rnacentral:rRNA from 1 species
CCGACUUACGUUGAAAAGUGAGCGGAUGAACUGAGGGUAGCGGAGAAAUUCCAAUCGAACCUGGAGAUAGCUGGUUCUCUCCGAAAUAGCUUUAGGGCUAGCCUCAAGUGAUGAUUAUUGGAGGUAGAGCACUGUUUGGACGAGGGGCCCCUCUCGGGUUACCGAAUUCAGACAAACUCCGAAUGCCAAUUAAUUUAACUUGGGAGUCAGAACAUGGGUGAUAAGGUCCGUGUUCGAAAGGGAAACAGCCCAGACCACCAGCUAAGGUCCCAAAAUAUAUGUUAAGUGGAAAAGGAUGUGGCGUUGCCCAGACAACUAGGAUGUUGGCUUAGAAGCAGCCAUCAUUUAAAGAGUGCGUAAUAGCUCACUAGUCGAGUGACACUGCGCCGAAAAUGUACCGGGGCUAAACAUAUUACCGAAGCUGUGGAUUGUCCUUUGGACAAUGGUAGGAGAGCGUUCUAAGGGCGUUGAAGCAUGAUCGUAAGGACAUGUGGAGCGCUUAGAAGUGAGAAUGCCGGUGUGAGUAGCGAAAGACGGGUGAGAAUCCCGUCCACCGAUUGACUAAGGUUUCCAGAGGAAGGCUCGUCCGCUCUGGGUUAGUCGGGUCCUAAGCUGAGGCCGACAGGCGUAGGCGAUGGAUAACAGGUUGAUAUUCCUGUACCACCUAUAAUCGUUUUAAUCGAUGGGGGGACGCAGUAGGAUAGGCGAAGCGUGCGAUUGGAUUGCACGUCUAAGCAGUAAGGCUGAGUAUUAGGCAAAUCCGGUACUCGUUAAGGCUGAGCUGUGAUGGGGAGAAGACAUUGUGUCUUCGAGUCGUUGAUUUCACACUGCCGAGAAAAGCCUCUAGAUAGAAAAUAGGUGCCCGUACCGCAAACCGACACAGGUAGUCAAGAUGAGAAUUCUAAGGUGAGCGAGCGAACUCUCGUUAAGGAACUCGGCAAAAUGACCCCGUAACUUCGGGAGAAGGGGUGCUCUUUAGGGUUAACGCCCAGAAGAGCCGCAGUGAAUAGGCCCAAGCGACUGUUUAUCAAAAACACAGGUCUCUGCUAAACCGUAAGGUGAUGUAUAGGGGCUGACGCCUGCCCGGUGCUGGAAGGUUAAGAGGAGUGGUUAGCUUCUGCGAAGCUACGAAUCGAAGCCCCAGUAAACGGCGGCCGUAACUAUAACGGUCCUAAGGUAGCGAAAUUCCUUGUCGGGUAAGUUCCGACCCGCACGAAAGGCGUAACGAUUUGGGCACUGUCUCAACGAGAGACUCGGUGAAAUCAUAGUACCUGUGAAGAUGCAGGUUACCCGCGACAGGACGGAAAGACCCCGUGGAGCUUUACUGUAGCCUGAUAUUGAAAUUCGGCACAGCUUGUACAGGAUAGGUAGGAGCCUUUGAAACGUGAGCGCUAGCUUACGUGGAGGCGCUGGUGGGAUACUACCCUAGCUGUGUUGGCUUUCUAACCCGCACCACUUAUCGUGGUGGGAGACAGUGUCAGGCGGGCAGUUUGACUGGGGCGGUCGCCUCCUAAAAGGUAACGGAGGCGCUCAAAGGUUCCCUCAGAAUGGUUGGAAAUCAUUCAUAGAGUGUAAAGGCAUAAGGGAGCUUGACUGCGAGACCUACAAGUCGAGCAGGGUCGAAAGACGGACUUAGUGAUCCGGUGGUUCCGCAUGGAAGGGCCAUCGCUCAACGGAUAAAAGCUACCCCGGGGAUAACAGGCUUAUCUCCCCCAAGAGUUCACAUCGACGGGGAGGUUUGGCACCUCGAUGUCGGCUCAUCGCAUCCUGGGGCUGUAGUCGGUCCCAAGGGUUGGGCUGUUCGCCCAUUAAAGCGGUACGCGAGCUGGGUUCAGAACGUCGUGAGACAGUUCGGUCCCUAUCCGUCGUGGGCGUAGGAAAUUUGAGAGGAGCUGUCCUUAGUACGAGAGGACCGGGAUGGACAUACCUCUGGUGUACCAGUUGUCGUGCCAACGGCAUAGCUGGGUAGCUAUGUGUGGACGGGAUAAGUGCUGAAAGCAUCUAAGCAUGAAGCCCCCCUCAAGAUGAGAUUUCCCAACUUCGGUUAUAAGAUCCCUCAAAGAUGAUGAGGUUAAUAGGUUCGAGGUGGAAGCAUGGUGACAUGUGGAGCUGACGAAUACUAAUCGAUCGAAGACUUAAUCAA